AUUGAACGCUGGCGGCGUGCUUAACACAUGCAAGUCGAUCGGUAACGAGGUGUAGCGAUACAUGCUGACGAGAGGCGGACGGGUGAGUAAUGCUUGGGAAUCUGCCUAUUAGUGGGGGACAACCCGGGGAACUCGGGCUAAUACCGCAUACGCUCUACGGAGGAAAGCCGGGGACCGCAAGGCCUGGCGCUAAUAGAUGAGCCCAAGUCGGAUUAGCUAGUUGGUAGGUAACGGCCUACCAAGGCGACAAUCCGUAGCUGGUCUGAGAGGACGACCAGCCACACCGGAACUGAGACACGGUCCGGACUCCUACGGGAGGCGAGCAGUGGGGAAUAUUGGACAAUGGGGCAACCCUGAUCCAGCGACGCCGCGUGGGUGAAGAAGGCCUGCGGGUUGU
rnacentral:rRNA from 1 species